CGCUAAGAACGAGCGUGUCGGAAUAGGACAGGAGCGAGUUUUAAGGCUAAGUACACAGAAGCGGGGAUUCUUGUGUUUCUUAUGGGACUGUCUGCUCGACAGUCUGUCGUUAGAGCACAAGUUCUUCCUGUUGCGAGGACGAGAGGGAUUGCCAAUUCUUCUGUCACAGACUGUGUAUGACCGUGGCACGAAUGCUAAUGUUAGCCCGAGCGUUAGCGCGUGUGCUACGGCUAAGCUAACGAGCUUGAUAGCAGUGAGUCAGCACACCACAAGUGUACAGACUUUUUGCAUAUAGUUGGACUAACCCAGUUGAACUGUGCGAGAGGGGAAAGACUAUUUUCAGCACGGGAACGGAGUAAAUACCCUGCUCGAGGAUUGACAGAGCCUCAUCUGUACCUGUUCUGGAAGCGAGGUGAGCGGGGAGGCAGUGGACUCUGCUGUGCCGGUGAGGUGAGAGGGAUCUGCUUCAGAGCGCUUACCUGCCUGUUGGAUUACAACCCAGCAACCAAAAUACUAAGAGAGUAUUCAAGCCAUUUCAGCAUUGAGGACACUCUCUUAUUUUGCAUGAGAGUCAUGGUUGGAGUCAUCUUUCUGUAUGACCAUGUUCACCCCAACAGCACCUUCAACAAGUCCUCCAAAUGAAAGGCUGCAUAAAAGUGCUGAAGGACCAGCCUCCUGUAGAAGGCCUCCUGAAUGCACUCAAAUUCACCACAAAACACCUGAAUGGCGAGAAUACUCCCAAGAACAUCUGAGCGCUGCUCCAGUAAUAUUUGUUCCUUCUUAUAUGAAUUUAUACAUAAAUAGAUAUGAAGAGGAUCACAGCUCUGACCUCAGAUCAGAUGUCUAUGUUUACAUUAUUUAAACAGAGACCUUGAGCUGCUCAGGUAUUACUUGUCUUUUGACAUUGCUCCCGUUUUUCAAACAGUGACACUUUAAGUUUUAUGACCUGUUCAGACGGUUUCUGAAAUUUGUAUUGGAGGCUUUUAGAGUGGUGACCUCAUCACUCACUGAAGAAUUUCAGCUCUUUUAGUUUUUUAAUUAGUUUCCCUUUCAGCUCUUUUUACUCCCACAAAUGUUGUUGUACCCGCACAGUUUAUACUUCAAAUUGUAGCUAUGGUUGUGCUCUUUAAGAAAAUGUCCUUUUCAAAGAUCUGACAUUUAAAGAAUUUACACUAGGAGCCUCAGAGUGUCAGGUGUACCCUCGCCCCAUCGCCCAGACGCCAAUGUUAACUUUUCUCCUCGCUUUUUUUUAAACUGUCAUUUCUCAGUCACUUUUAGUGAUAUAGAGAUUAACAAAAACAAAAAUGUCUUCCUUCAGUAAGCUCUCCUUGUGCUCACAGUGUAAAAGGUUUGUGACUGGAACGUACAGUUUCUGAGUGACAGCCGUUUGUUUGGGGGUCAGUCAGCAGGGGUUUCUUCUCCCCAGCCUAGUUUUGGGAGUGAAAAGGACUGAGCACAUCCACUAAUAAGAAGCCAGUUGCUCUCAGGACCACAGUACUGGUGGUUUAGCUCUACCAGUUAAGAGUUAGGCUGGAGAUAUGAAGGUCAUGAAGGUCAACUUUGAUGACCAUUUUCCUCAAAUGUCUGUUUUUGAAGUUUUGGGAUAGAAACACAUUUACCAUAUUUUGCUGUAAAACAUGAAUUCUUAUACAGUAUAAAUGAACACAUACAC